rnacentral:rRNA from 1 species
AUUGAGCGCUGGCGGCAGGCUUAACACAUGCAAGUCGAGCGGGGGAAGGUAGCUUGCUACUGGACCUAGCGGCGGACGGGUGAGUAAUGCUUAGGAAUCUGCCUAUUAGUGGGGGACAACAUCUCGAAAGGGAUGCUAAUACCGCAUACGUCCUACGGGAGAAAGCAGGGGAUCUUCGGACCUUGCGCUAAUAGAUGAGCCUAAGUCGGAUUAGCUAGUUGGUGGGGUAAAGGCCUACCAAGGCGACGAUCUGUAGCGGGUCUGAGAGGAUGAUCCGCCACACUGGGACUGAGACACGGCCCAGACUCCUACGGGAGGCAGCAGUGGGGAAUAUUGGACAAUGGGGGGAACCCUGAUCCAGCCAUGCCGCGUGUGUGAAGAAGGCCUUAUGGUUGUAAAGCACUUUAAGCGAGGAGGAGGCUACUUUAGUUAAUACCUAGAGAUAGUGGACGUUACUCGCAGAAUAAGCACCGGCUAACUCUGUGCCAGCCGCCGCUGUAAAAC